GAUGAAGAACGUAGCGAAAUGCGAUAAGUAGUGUGAAUUGCAGAAUUCAGUGAAUCAUCGAAUCUUUGAACGCACAUUGCGCCCCUUGGUAUUCCAUGGGGCAUGCCUGUUCGAGCGUCAUUUGUACCCUCAAACUUUGCUUGGUGUUGGGUGUUUGUCCCGCGUUGCGCGUGGACUCGCCUUAAAGCGAUUGGCAGCCGGCAUAUUGGCCUUGGAGCGCAGCACAUUUUGCGCUUCUAGUCAUGAAUGUUGGCGUCCAUUAAGCCUAUACAUUUGCUCUUGACCUCGGAUCAGGUAGGGAUACCCGCUGAACUUAAGCAUAUCAAUAAGCGGAGGA
rnacentral:misc_RNA from 1 species